GUCAUAUUCAUUUGAACAAUACAAGGUACAAACGAAUGAAAGAAACAAGAAGUACGUUUUGAACUUUUACAAGAAAUGAGGAAGACCAGUGGACAGACUGGACCACAACAGUUUACCAUUUUUGCAAAGAAGACUGAUGUACGAAAAAACUGUGAUAAUCAAUCCGUCAAAUGACUUCACUUCAGAGCAUUUGAUGUCUGUAAUUCUUGUUGUGCAAGUUAUGUCAUUGCCACCCUGUUGGAUGAUUUUAAAAUAGGAUUUUCCUUAUUUACAAUGAAAGUCUCCUCCAACAUGAUGAAGAUUCCAUUGUUCUCUCAUUCCCAUGAGAAUGGUUGCACAUCACCUAUAUCCAGUUAUUUGAGGAUAUGAGAAAUCUAAAUGUUUACUCCAAAAGAAAGCUGGUUAUGGCUCUAAUCACU